CAAAUUUGAAAUCUGGUACCUUCGGUGCCCGAGUUGUAAUUUGGAGAGGGCAACUUUGGGGCCGUUCCUUGUCUAUGUUCCUUGGAACAGGACGUCAUAGAGGGUGAGAAUCCCGUGUGGCGAGGAGUGCGGUUCUUUGUAAAGUGCCUUCGAAGAGUCGAGUUGUUUGGGAAUGCAGCUCUGAGUGGGUGGUAAAUUCCAUCUAAAGCUAAAUAUUGGCGAGAGACCGAUAGCGAACAAGUACAGUGAUGGAAAGAUGAAAAGAACUUUGAAAAGAGAGUGAAAAAGUACGUGAAAUUGUUGAAAGGGAAGGGCAUUUGAUCAGACAUGGUGUUUUGUGCCCUCUGCUCCUUGUGGGUAGGGGAAUCUCGCAUUUCACUGGGCCAGCAUCAGUUUUGGUGGCAGGAUAAAUCCAUAGGAAUGUAGCUUGCCUCGGUAAGUAUUAUAGCUGUGGGAAUACUGCCAGCUGGGACUGAGGACUGCGACGUAAG
rnacentral:rRNA from 1 species